UGCCAGCCGCCGCGGUAAUACGAAGGGACCUAGCGUAGUUCGGAAUUACUGGGCUUAAAGGGUUCGUAGGUGGUUAAAAAAGUUGGUGGUGAAAGCCCAGAGCUUAACUCUGGAAUUGCCAUCAAAACUUUUUAGCUAGAGUUUGAUAGAGGAAAGCAGAAUUUCUAGUGUAGAGGUGAAAUUCGUAGAUAUUAGAAAGAAUACCGAUUGCGAAGGCAGCUUUCUGGAUCAUUACUGACACUGAGGAACGAAAGCAUGGGUAGCGAAGAGGAUUAGAUA
rnacentral:rRNA from 1 species